rnacentral:lncRNA from 1 species
AAUUCUAGAAUGCAACGGGUAUAUUAGUGACGUGGCGUAACAAACCAAUCAAAUUAAUCCUUUUAAGAAUAUAUGUCCCAUCAUGAUUGUAAAAAAGUAUUUUUAUUGUACUUUUGUUUGAAAAGAAGGAAUGUGAUUGGCUUGUUAUUGAUGACGUGGUGCAAGUGUGACAGUGUAGAAUUCCUCCACCCUGAGGCUGACUACAGCAGAUCGGGAGGUGACAGUUCCUAUUUUCCUGUUUCCAUUUCCUUAUAAAAUAUUUUAAUAAAAAAUAUUAAUUAAUAUAUUUUAAUUUUAUAUUAUUUUAUUAACCUGAUUUUUAAUUAAAUAAAUUUAAAUAAAAAUUAUUGAAGAAUUAAAAUAAUUUAAAUUGGUUUAUGUUUGACGUAAAUUUUGCAAGAACUAUUGGUAACUAAAUUAUUUUAGGGUAAACUUCAAAUACCACCCCUGUGGUUUCGCACUCUCUCACUUUAGUACCAUGUGAUUUAAAGUGUAUCGAGUUAGUGUCCUGUGAUUUUAUUUUUAUUUUUUCGUCAGCUUCUCCUUAAUAUUUCGUUAAAUUAUGUAUAAAAAGUUUCAGAUUUAUCAAAUAUUUACUUUAGUACCCUUUAGUUUUAACUUUGUCAUUUAUUUAACGAAAAAAAUUAAUGGAAUUGAUAAUAAAAAAAAUAAAAAUGAAAACACAAGGCACUAAAUUGAUGCACUUUAAAUUACAGGGUAUUAAAGUGAGAAAGUGUGAAACCAUAGGGAUAGUAUUUGAAGUUUUCCCAUUAUUUUAUAAAGGCAUAUGCGAAAAAAUAAUUAGGAAAAAAAUUAUCAAAAUAAUUUUAAAAAUUUAUUUAAAUUAAAAAUUUAAUAUAUUAACUGUUAGUUAUUAGUUAUUUAAUUUUAUUUCAUAAAAAGUUAUUAUAAUUAUUGA